rnacentral:rRNA from 1 species
CCUACGGGAGGCUGCAGUCGAGAAUCAUUCACAAUGGCGGAAACCCUGAUGGUGCGACGCCGCGUGGGGGAAUGAAGGUCUUCGGAUUGUAAACCCCUGUCAUGUGGGAGCAAAGUAAAAAGAUAGUACCACAAGAGGAAGAGACGGCUAACUCUGUGCCAGCAGCCGCGGUAAUACAGAGGUCUCAAGCGUUGUUAGGAAUCACUGGGGUUAAAGCGUGCGUAGGCUGUUUCGUAAGUCGUGUGUGAAAGGCGCGGGCUCAACCCGCGGACGGCACAUGAUACUGCGAGACUAGAGUAAUGGAGGGGGAACCGGAAUUCUCGGUGUAGCAGUGAAAUGCGUAGAUAUCGAGCGGAACACUCGUGGCGAAGGCGGGUUCCUGGACAUUAACUGACGCUGAGGCACGAAGGCCAGGGGAGCGAAAGGGAUUAGAUACCCGAGUAGUC